GCAACUGUGACUCAGUUGGUAGAGAAUGGCGCUUGCAACGUUAAGCUUGCGGGUUCAAUUCCUGCUGGGGCCA
rnacentral:tRNA from 1 species